UACGUAGGGCGCAAGCGUUGUCCGGAAUUAUUGGGCGUAAAGAGCUCGUAGGCGGCCGAUCGCGUCGGAUGUGAAAGCUCGGGGCUUAACCCUGAGAGGCCAUUCGAUACGGAUCGGCUAGAGGGAGGUAGGGGAAAGUGGAAUUCCUGGUGUAGCGGUGAAAUGCGCAGAUAUCAGGAGGAAUACCGGUGGCGAAGGCGGAUUUCUGGGCCUUAACUGACGCUGAGGGGCGAAAGCUGGGGGAGCAAACAGG
rnacentral:misc_RNA from 1 species